rnacentral:rRNA from 1 species
AGCGGUAGCACAGAGAGCUUGCUCUCGGGUGACGAGCGGCGGACGGGUGAGUAAUGUCUGGGAAACUGCCUGAUGGAGGGGGAUAACUACUGGAAACGGUAGCUAAUACCGCAUAACGUCGCAAGACCAAAGAGGGGGACCUUCGGGCCUCUUGCCAUCAGAUGUGCCCAGAUGGGAUUAGCUAGUAGGUGGGGUAAUGGCUCACCUAGGCGACAAUCCCUAGCUGGUCUGAGAGGAUGACCAGCCACACUGGAACUGAGACACGGUCCACACUCCUACGGGAGGCAGCAGUGGGGAAUAUUGCACAAUGGGCGCAAGCCUGAUGCACCCAUGCCGCGUGUAUGAAAAAAGCCUUCUGGUUGUAAAGUACUUUCAGCGAGGAGGAAGGCAUUGUGGUUAAUAACCACAGUGAUUGACGUUACUCGCAGAAAAAACACCGGCUAACUCCGUGCCAGCAGCCGCGGUAAUACGGAGGGUGCGAGCGUUAAUCGGAAUUACUGGGCGUAAAGCGCACGCACGCGGUCUGUCAAGUCGGAUGUGAAAUCCCCGGGCUCAACCUGGGAACUGCAUUCUAAACUGGCACGCUAUAGUCUUGUAUAGGGGGGUAGAAUUCCACGUGUAGCGGUGAAAUGCGUAUAGAUCUGGAGGAAUACCGGUGGCGAAAGCGGCCCCCCUGGACAAAGACUGACGACUCACGUGCGAAAGCGUGUGGAGCAAACAGGAUUAUGAUACCCCUGGUGAGUCCACGCCGUA